rnacentral:rRNA from 1 species
UACGUAGGGUGCGAGCGUUGUCCGGAAUUAUUGGGCGUAAAGGGCUCGUAGGCGGUCUGUCACGUCGGGAGUGAAAACUCAGGGCUUAACCCUGAGCCUGCUUCCGAUACGGGCAGACUAGAGGUAUGCAGGGGAGAACGGAAUUCCUGGUGUAGCGGUGAAAUGCGCAGAUAUCAGGAGGAAUACCGAUGGCGAAGGCAGGUCUCUGGGCUGAAACUGACGCUCAUGCACGAAAGCGUGGGGAGCAAACAGG